rnacentral:rRNA from 1 species
UUACUAGUAAUCGCAGAUCAGAAUGCUGCGGUGAAUGCGUUCCCGGGUCUUGUACACACCGCCCGUCACACCACGGGAGUUGGAGACGCCCGAAGCCGAUUAUCUAACCUUUUGGAAGAAGUCGUCGAAGGUGGAAUCAAUAACUGGGGUGAAGUCGUAACAAGGUAGCCGUAUCGGAAGGUGCGGCUGGAUCACCUCCUUUCUAAGGAGA